rnacentral:rRNA from 1 species
GUGGCGAGUGGCGAACGGGUGAGUAAUACAUCGGAACAUGUCCUGUAGUGGGGGAUAGCCCGGCGAAAGCCGGAUUAAUACCGCAUACGAUCUACGGAUGAAAGCGGGGGACCUUCGGGCCUCGCGCUAUAGGGUUGGCCGAUGGCUGAUUAGCUAGUUGGUGGGGUAAAGGCCUACCAAGGCGACGAUCAGUAGCUGGUCUGAGAGGACGACCAGCCACACUGGGACUGAGACACGGCCCAGACUCCUACGGGAGGCAGCAGUGGGGAAUUUUGGACAAUGGGCGAAAGCCUGAUCCAGCAAUGCCGCGUGUGUGAAGAAGGCCUUCGGGUUGUAAAGCACUUUUGUCCGGAAAGAAAUCCUUGGUUCUAAUAUAGCCGGGGGAUGACGGUACCGGAAGAAUAAGCACCGGCUAACUACGUGCCAGCAGCCGCGGUAAUACGUAGGGUGCGAGCGUUAAUCGGAAUUACUGGGCGUAAAGCGUGCGCAGGCGGUUUGCUAAGACCGAUGUGAAAUCCCCGGGCUCAACCUGGGAACUGCAUUGGUGACUGGCAGGCUAGAGUAUGGCAGAGGGGGGUAGAAUUCCACGUGUAGCAGUGACAUGCGUAGAGAUGUGGAGGAAUACCGAUGGCGAAGG